rnacentral:rRNA from 1 species
UACGAAGGGGGCUAGCGUUACUCGGAUUGACUGGGCGUAAAGGGCGCGUAGGCGGAUGGUACAGUCAGACGUGAAAUUCCUGGGCUCAACCUGGGGGCUGCGUUUGAUACGUGCUGUCUGGAGUUCGGAAGAGGGUCGUGGAAUUCCCAGUGUAGAGGUGAAAUUCGUAGAUAUUCGGAAGAACACCAGUGGCGAGGGCGGCUCACUGGACUGGUAUUGACGCUGAGGUGCGAAAGCGUGGGGAGCAAACAGG